UGCGUAGGCGGACUAAUAAGUCAGUGGUGAAAUCUCUCGGCUCAACCGGGAAACUGCCAUUGAUACUGUUAGUCUUGAGUUCGGUUGAGGUAGGCGGAAUGUGUAAUGUAGCGGUGAAAUGCUUAGAUAUUACACAGAACACCAAUUGCGUAGGCAGCUUACUAGACUGACACUGACGCUGAGGCACGAAAGCGUGGGUAGCGAACAGGAUUAGAUACCCUGGUAGUCC
rnacentral:rRNA from 1 species